GCAGUUGUGGCCGAGUGGUUAAGGCGUCUGACUUGAAAUCAGAUUCCCUCUGGGAGCACAAGUUCGAAUCUUGUCAGCUGCG
rnacentral:tRNA from 1 species